GGGCCGCUAGCUCAAUGGGUAGAGCAGUCGAUCUGUCCAGCACCUCCGCUCACCGCGCACGCGGGCAUGGGGGCGCUUCCUUCUACUCCUUAAUCGACGGGUUCGGGGUUCGAGUCCCCGGCGGUCCC
rnacentral:tRNA from 1 species